UACGAAGGGUGCAAGCGUUAGUCGGAAUUACUGGGCGUAAAGCGUGCGCAGGCGGCCUCUUAAGUCAGAUGUGAAAUCCCCGGGCUUAACCUGGGAACUGCGUUUGAAACUGGGAGGCUAGAGUGUGGAAGAGGGGGGUGGAAUUCCAGGUGUAGCAGUGAAAUGCGUAGAGAUCUGGAGGAACACCGAUGGCGAAGGCAGCCCCCUGGGCUGACACUGACGCUCAUGCACGAAAGCGUGGGGAGCAAACAGG
rnacentral:rRNA from 1 species